ACCAAGACUUUUUACACUUCAUGAUAUAAAACACUGGUUUAGUUAUUAGUAAAUUAAGAGCUUUGCAUAACAUGGUACGUGUAAGGACUUUCACUCAGCCUUCAUGAACUGUUGAGAAAACCUUAAUGCGUCUAAAAAAGAAGAUGUAUGCUCAGCAGGACCCGUUGCCUCUGCAUCAGAGUUCCACACAUCCUCAUCUUCAUUUUUCUUCCAUUCCAAAUAAUCUUCACAUUAGCAUUAAUAGUUUCAUGCAAUCAUUUAUUAUAAUUACCUAUUGCCCACUGAUCUCUUUUAUGCCUUGCUUGCUUCUGUUGCUUGCGCAAAUGAUAUAGCUUUGAUUUCAUGAGCUCUUGAACGCGAGCUUCACGAGCACUUUGUUUUGCAUCCACUGCUUGAUUUAUUGUAUUAGGAGCCGGACGAGUUUGUGCAUUUGCCUCGGAAAGCGACCGCUCUUGAGGAGUCACAUAUGAGUCAGUUCGUUCAUCAUAAUAAAGCAUAUCCGGCAAUUGACGACGCUUUCUUGUCGAUCGAGCUACAAUUCAUGAGUUAAUAAAAUCAGAAAUAAAAGAGGGAAAGGAGUUUACCGGGAAGAACUCUCUCCCCUUGCUUCUUUUGUGCAGCCAUUAACGGUGAGAGGAAAGUAAUGAUAGAGCAUAGACACCUACGAGCGACAUACUUAAUUUGAAUUGACUACUUUACUGAGACACAACAACAGGCUCUUUAAAAUCAAGAACUCGUACUGUUUCGUAAUAUCCUACACUCUACUAUAG